CCUACGGGAGGCUGCAGUGGGGAAUAUUGGACAAUGGGGGGAACCCUGAUCCAGCCAUGCCGCGUGUGUGAAGAAGGCCCUCGGGUUGUAAAGCACUUUCAGUGAGGAAGAACGCCUGGUGGUUAAUACCCAUCAGGAAAGACAUCACUCACAGAAGAAGCACCGGCUAACUCCGUGCCAGCAGCCGCGGUAAUACGGAGGGUGCGAGCGUUAAUCGGAAUUACUGGGCGUAAAGCGCGCGUAGGUGGCUUGAUAAGCCGGUUGUGAAAGCCCCGGGCUCAACCUGGGAACGGCAUCCGGAACUGUCGAGCUAGAGUGCAGGAGAGGAAGGUAGAAUUCCCGGUGUAGCGGUGAAAUGCGUAGAGAUCGGGAGGAAUACCAGUGGCGAAGGCGGCCUUCUGGACUGACACUGACACUGAGGUGCGAAAGCGUGGGUAGCAAACAGGAUUAGAUACACUUGUAGUC
rnacentral:rRNA from 1 species